GUGCCAGCCGCCGCGGUAAUACGGAAGGUCCGGGCGUUAUCCGGAUUUAUUGGGUUUAAAGGGAGCGCAGGCUGAUUAUUAAGCGUGACGUGAAAUGUAGCCGCUCAACGGCUGAACUGCGUCGCGAACUGGUAGUCUUGCAGUGAGUUCGAUGUUGGCGGAAUUCGUGGUGUAGCGGUGAAAUGCUUAGAUAUCACCGAAGAACUCCGACUUGCCGAAGGCAGCCAACAAGGCCUUUACUGACGCUAAAGCUCGAAGGUGCGGGUAUCGAACAGGAUUAGAUACCCUGGUAGUCCGCACGGUAAACGAUGGAUGCCUGCUGUUUGCGAUAUACUGUGAGCGGCCAAGAGAAAUCGUUAAGCAUCCCACCUGGGGAGUACGCCGGCAACGGUGAAACUCAAAGGAAUUGACGGGGGCCCGCACAAGCGGAGGGAACAUGUGGUUUAAUUCGAUGAUACGCGAGGAACCUUACCCGGGGCUUGAACUGCAGGAGGAACGAUACAGAGAUGUUGAGGUCCUUCGGACUCCUGUGGAGGUGCUGCAUGGUUGUCGUCAGCUCGUGCCGUGAGGUGUCGGCUUAAGUGCCAUAACGAGCGCAACCCUUUUCGUCAGUUGCCAUCAGGUAAGGCUGGGCACUCUGGCGAUACUGCCACCGUAAAGGUGUGAGGAANGGUGGGGAUGACGUCAAGUCAGCACGGCCCUUACGUCCGGGGCUACACACGUGUUACAAUGGGGAGUACAGAGAGUCGGCCGCACGCAAGUUCGGUCCAAUCAAGAAAGCUCUCCUCAGUUCGGAUUGGGGUCUGCAACCCGACCCCAUGAAGCUGGAUUCGCUAGUAAUCGCGCAUCAGCCAUGGCGCGGUGAAUACGUUCCCGGGCCUUGUACACACCGCCCGU
rnacentral:rRNA from 1 species